rnacentral:rRNA from 1 species
GAUGAACGCUGGCGGCGUGCCUAAUACAUGCCAGUCGAGCGAACGGACGAGAAGCUUGCUUUUCUGAUGUUAGCGGCGGACGGGUGAGUAACACGUGGAUAACCUACCUAUAAGACUGGGAUAACUUCGGGAAACCGGAGCUAAUACCGGAUAAUAUUUUGAACCGCAUGAUUCAAAAGUGAAAGACGGUCUUGCUGUCACUUAUAGAUGGAUCCGCGCUGCAUUAGCUAGUUGGUAAGGUAACGGCUUACCAAGGCAACGAUGCAUAGCCGACCUGAGAGAGUGAUCGGCCACACUGGAACUGAGACACGGUCCAGACUCCUACGGGAGGCAGCAGUAGGGAAUCUUCCGCAAUGGGCGAAAGCCUGACGGAGCAACGCCGCGUGAGUGAUGAAGGUCUUCGGAUCGUAAAACUCUGUUAUUAGGGAAGAACAUAUGUGUAAGUAACUGUGCACAUCUUGACGGUACCUAAUCAGAAAGCCACGGCUAACUACGUG